AUAAAAUAUUAUUUAAUAAAUUAUUAUUAUUAUUAUUUAAAUAUUUAUUAUUAAUUAGUAAAAGGUUUAGAAAGUUUUUAUUUUAGUUAGUACUGAAAAGGAAUAGAUAUAUAAUAUAUUUUAUAGUAGAUAUUAAAUUUUGUACCUUUUGCAUAAUGGUUUAAUUAUAUUAAUUGGUUAAUAUCAAGUUCUCGAAAUAAAAAGAUUUAUUUGGUUUAAUAUAUAUAUAUAUAGUUGACGUAGUAUAGUCAUUAUUUUAAAACGAAAUGGUAGUGAAAUGCUAUUCGAUUUUUGUGGUAGCUAGUUUAUUUUGGUAAACAUUUAAGUGUAAAAUCUUAGUAGGAUUAUUUUAGGUAAUAAUAUUUUGAUGGAUAUAUUGGGGGAUAAGCUUCUUAUAUAUUGUGAGAUAUAUAUAAAUUAAAUAUUUAGUUGGUUGGAUUAAUUUUCUUUCUUGUGAGUAGAUGAUGUAUAAAUAUUUAAGUAAAUUCUUAAUUAAGAAAAAAAUAAAUUUUUUAAAAUUAAUGAAAAUUAAAUAUAAUGUUAAAAUGAGUAUUUUUAAAGAAGAUUAUAUAUAUAUAUAUAUAAAUAUAAUUAAAAUAAAAUAAAAUAAAGGAAUUUAGCAAAUAUUGAUUUCGCCUGUUUAUCAAAAACAUGUCUCUUUGAAAUUUAUUUAAUAAAGAGUUGGGCCUGCUCAAUGAUUUAAUAUUAAAUAGCUGCGGUAUUAUAACUGUACUAAGGUAGCAUAAUAAUUUGCCUUAUAAAUUAGGGCUAGAAUGAAUGGUUUGACGAGAAUUAGACUGUCUCUAUUUUAUUUAUUAGAAAUUAAUUUUUAUAGUGAAAAAGCUUGGAUAUAUUAAAGGGACGAGAAGACCCUAUUGAGCUUAAAAUUAUUAUAUGAAUAUUAAUAAUAUUUAAUUAAUAUUAUUUUUUUAUUUUUAUUUAUUUAUAUAAUUUUGAUUGGGGUGAUCAAGGAAUAAAAAAAAUUAAUUUAAUAACUUCCUUAAAUUUAUAUAUAGAUAAAUUAAUAAACCAUAUUUUUGCUUAUAAGAUAAGUUACCAUAGGGAUAACAGCGUAAUUUUUUUUGAGAGUUCAUAUUGAAAAAAAAGAUUGCGACCUCGAUGUUGGAUUAAAUAUAACCUUAAGGUGAAGAAGCUUUAUUAGGUGAAUCUGUUCGAUUUUUAAAAUUUUACAUGAUCUGAGUUCAAACCGGUGAGAGCCAGGUUGGUUUCUAUCUUUUAAUAUUUAUUUUAAAUUAGAUUUAGUACGAAAGGAUUGAUUAUAAUUAAUUAUUUUAAAUUAAAUUAUAAAAUUUUU
rnacentral:rRNA from 1 species